UCCACGAUUACCGAUGUUUGCAGUACACCUCUCCUUUACAAUAAUGAAAACUCGUGUAAUAUACAUGAAUAAGAGGAACAAAUCAUUACAUGCAAUUAUGCUAGUGGCAAGUUGAAGUUCUAUCAUACCUUUGAGGUGGGCUAGACCACAACGUAACCAGAUUGUUCCACUGGUUGUCAUUCAUUGUGGUCACAAGAGUUUUGGUUGGGACUUCAUUUGCUGCAAGACUAUUGAAGUACUUUUUCUUGAGCCGGUACCUCCCAUGUCUCUGUUGCGACUUGAGCAUGUCAGUGCAUGCCUCUAUGACAGGUUGACUAGUGGUGUCAAUGUUAAAUUGUCCCUAUAUUAAGCACAAUACAAGAGUAGUUAAAAAAUGGAUGAAAAGAAAGAAUGCAAAGAACUAUGGUAGUAAAUAAGUCGAUAGAUACGCACCGCCAGUUUACCAAUGUAGUUCUUGAGUUGUUUUUCAUUAUCGGCCUUGUAGUCCUUCCAGCGAGUAAGGAUUGGUAUAUGCCCACGCAUUAUGAUCCCACCCUCUGAUGCAAACUUUGCAGUUUGCAUUGGUACCUCUGGCCGUUUGAGCCCUUCUCGAACAUGCAUCGGAAGCUUGGUGUGUAACCCUCUGUUUAUCCUAUCCAGAUCUCUGCCCAACCUUCUUGAAUCCUAUGGCACUUAUGCUCUUGUGGAAGGGUGUGCAUCACCUAACAAUUUUGUUACGGUCAUACAGGUGGUGUGUGUUAAUAAUGAUUUGGUUGCUAAUGAAGACAUUCCAAAUUUUUGGCUUUGGGAAAAAGAGAUUAAAUGACUUGCCUUUGCCAGUUGUCAUGUCGAUGAUGUCCUUGGUGUGAGUGGUUGUUGCUUAGCCUUCAGUUGGCAAUUCUUAUGAAUCAGGAGUCGUCCCAUCUGAACCUCCUGCCUGAGCUAAAGCCAAUGCCUUUGCCUUGGUCCUAGUCACUCUAGGAGGCAUACUGUCAGAGGCAUCAGGUGCCCGAAUUCUCUUGGACAACCCUCUUCCCCCGUUGACAGGUAUGCUAUCACUAAUCUGAUUGGACAAAUUGCAUAAACAAAAAUAAUGAGAAGCAAUCCUGCAUAACUGAUACAAGAAAUUUGGUAGGCAACAAUAGUACCUCGUGUUGGCAUGUCUCUUGGUCAGAUUCAGGCCGUUCCUGAGAUGGGUCAUACUUCGGAUCUGGAUCUUCACUCCUUCUUCC
rnacentral:lncRNA from 1 species